UACGUAGGGAGCAAGCGUUGUCCGGAAUCAUUGGGCGUAAAGCGCGCGUAGGUGGCCCUGUAAGUCCGUUGUGAAAGUCAAAGGCUCAACCUUUGAAAGCCGAUGGAUACUGCAGGACUAGAGUACGGAAGAGGCGAGUGGAAUUCCUGGUGUAGCGGUGGAAUGCGCAGAUAUCAGGAGGAACACCAAUAGCGAAGGCAGCUCGCUGGGACGUUACUGACACUGAGGCGCGGAAAGCGUGGGGAGCGAACAGG
rnacentral:rRNA from 1 species